rnacentral:misc_RNA from 1 species
UGGGUCGCGUGGUGUCCGCG